rnacentral:rRNA from 1 species
GACGAACCGUGCGAACGUUAUUCGGAAUCACUGGGCUUAAAGGGCGCGUAGGCGGUUCCGUCAGUCAGGGGUGAAAUCCCACGGCCCAACCGUGGAAGUGCCUUUGAUACUGCGGGCCUCGAGGGGGAUAGGGGCGUGCGGAACUCAGGGUGGAGCGGUGAAAUGCGUAGAUAUGCGGAGGAACACCGAUGGCGAAGGCAAUCCCCUGGGCCUGCACUGACGCUCAUGCACGAAAGCGUGGGGAGCAAACAGG